CUGUGUUGUUCUCAGCCCAGGCUCUUCAUGCCUCAUUUUGUGGAUGUGCACUACCUGCGUUAAAUCCAACUCUUCCUCCCUAUUAAAGAGCAGAGAUUUCCAAUAAACCCUCGCCUUCCUCGGUGACAAGGUGGGAGGGAGGGCAGCCGAGGCAGAGAAAUGCUCCCGCUGUUUCAUAAUUAACGAGAUGCCUGGAUCAUCCCUCAAGAACGUACCUACAAUUUCUACCAAACAAGGUCCUGGCUCUCUGCAGUAAUAAUACAUGAACAGCUCCUCUCCCUCAUCCAUUAAUCAGGAGGGAGGCUGAGAGUCUGCCAACAGCAAGUCGCAACAGCGCCCCCUGCAGCCACAGUGUAAUAAGGCCUUGGGAG